rnacentral:rRNA from 1 species
AUUGAACGCUGGCGGCAGGCUUAACACAUGCAAGUCGAGCGGGGUGAUGGUGCUUGCACUAUCACUUAGCGGCGGACGGGUGAGUAGUGCUUAGGAAUCUGCCUAUUAGUGGGGGACAACAUCUCGAAAGGGAUGCUAAUACCGCAUACGUCCUACGGGAGAAAGCAGGGGAUCACUUGUGACCUUGCGCUAAUAGAUGAGCCUAAGUUGGAUUAGCUAGUUGGUGGGGUAAAGGCCUACCAAGGCGACGAUCGGUAGCGGGUCUGAGAGGAUGAUCCGCCACACUGGGACUGAGACACGGCCCAGACUCCUACGGGAGGCAGCAGUGGGGAAUAUUGGACAAUGGGGGGAACCCUGAUCCAGCCAUGCCGCGUGUGUGAAGAAGGCCUUAUGGUUGUAAAGCACUUUAAGCGAGGAGGAGGCUCUUUUGGUUAAUACCCAAGAUGAGUGGACGUUACUCGCAGAAUAAGCACCGGCUAACUCUGUGCCAGCCGCCGCCGUAA